rnacentral:rRNA from 2 species
AGUGACGAUAGCCUAGGAGAUACACCUGUUCCCAUGCCGAACACAGCAGUUAAGCCCUAGAACGCCUGAAGUAGUUGGGGGUUGCCCCCUGUUAGAUACGGUAGUCGCUUAGCA